GUACGAACGAGGAUCGUCAACGUUGUAAGAAGUUCUUAAUGAAGUCAUAUAAUAUUCAUAAAGAAUAGACUUGAAUGUCGAGAGACCACAAGUCUCCAGUUUUAGUUCUUCCGCUAGAAUGUUCUAGACACGGGUUGUUCGUAUGAAGAAGGAUCGUUGGUGGGUGGUUGUUUUGCAUUUGGGUAUGAUGAACUUGGUGGCAGUACUGGUGGAAGAUCUGGUAGGUCUCGAGGUUCGGAUGGUUGGAAUGAGAGGAGGUUUAACAUUCACCAGACCAUUUACUAUUUUGUAGAAGAGGACCAUAUCCAGGUACUCAUGCCAAUAUUAAAUCGGUAGUAGGGACAGGGUUAGCA